CUCUUUCAUUUAUAUUAUUUUCUUCUAUACGUUUACAUGUCAUAUAUAUCUGCCUCAUCCCCAGGCGCUAUAAAACGAUUUCACAAACGAGUCACUAAAAAAGUUUACAUGAAGUAGUGCAUCGCGAGCGAAAAAGCGCAGGGGUUUAAACGUGGUUUAUGCACUCAUAUCCCAUCCCCUUUGCGCGGCUAUCAUGAUGCACUACUUCAUGUAAACCUUUUAUAUAGUGACUCGUAUGUGAAAUCGUUUCAUAGCGCCUGGGGACGAGGCAGAUAAAAAAAUACGAGAAAAUUAAUUUCUACAAUUCUUAUAAUAUAUUAUAUUUUCCCACAUGUUCCCAAAAUAACAUGUCUUUGAAGAUGGGAAAAGACAUCAGACUCUUUGCUCCACGACAGUGCACGUUAAUGGUUUUUGAUUCUCUAAAAUGCCAUGUUUUUUUGUAUCGCGUGUGUUAUUCGUACUUCAUACCGUAUACAGUAAGCGGUAUUCAUGGCAAGCAGUGAAAUUAUGGCUUCACUUUUUGGACUCGAGUUCUCAGCGCAUGCACUGGUGAUGUUUGGGCUACCAGAGGGUUCACUACCGGGUCGUGUCCUAUUUCUACUUAAACCAUUAGUCGCCAAAGGCGAUGUGAUUACAAGUAAUCACCGAGCCUGAGGCGACUAAUUGUUUUAGUAUAAUUUCAGUAUUGAAAAAGUUUUAUUUAUAAAUACACUAAUACACGUGUUUAUUUUAUGAAUAUAAUUUGCAUAAAUAAUUUACUUCCGUCAGAUUUUCAGCCAUUUUUUUUGAAAAGCAACAGUUACUGUUCAGAGCAGUCUGAGCAGUAACUAUUGCCCCAGAGUUACUGCUGAGGGAGUCAAUCAGAAUGCUCAAAGGCCAUUUUUCGAUACUGAGGUUAUA
rnacentral:lncRNA from 1 species